rnacentral:rRNA from 1 species
AUCCCAGACUCCUACGGGAGGCAGCAGUGGGGGAUAUUGCACAAUGGGGGAAACCCUGAUGCAGCGACGCCGCGUGGGUGAAGAAGUAUUUCGGUAUGUAAAGCCCUAUCAGCAGGGAAGAAAGAAGACGGUACCUGACUAAGAAGCCCCGGCUAACUACGUGCCAGCAGCCGCGGUAAUACGUAGGGGGCGCGCGUUAUCCGGAUUCACUGGGUGUAAAGGGAGCGUAGACGGCCGUGCAAGCCAGGAGUGAAAGCCCGGGGCCCAACCCCGGGACUGCUCUUGGAACUGUGCGGCUGGAGUGCGGGAAAGGCAGGCGGAAUUCCUAGUGUAGCGGUGAAAUGCGUAGAUAUUAGGGGGAACACCAGUGGCGAAGGCGGCCUGCUGGACGAUGACUGACGUUGAGGCUCGAAAGCGUGGGGAGCAAACAGGAUUAGAUACCCUAGUA